AAUAAAGUUCCAGCUUAAUAAAAAACGGUUUAAAUAAAUUAAGUAAAUUUCGCGGCUAAAGUGAUCACGUGUGCAGCUCCGCAGGAAAAAAAAAUCUGCUUUCCUCAGCAGAGACGUCGACUAGCCAUACUCCUCACAACUCCUGUUUCGUAACUUAAUCGAGGUCACCUGAAGGACGGCGUUCCUGAGUUUCCUCAGCAACGGCAAGACCCGCACUCCUCUCAUAUCGGGAAGUUUAACGAGUUUCGCGGCUCAAGCAAGAGGCACCUGUCACUGAAGGACUGCUUUUCUCAGCAACGACGUGA